GGUUGAUCCUGGCUCAGGAUGAACGCUAGCGGCAGGCUUAACACAUGCAAGUCGAGGGGUAUAGUUCUUCGGAAUUAGAGACCGGCGCACGGGUGCGUAACGCGUAUGCAAUCUACCUUUUACAGAGGGAUAGCCCAGAGAAAUUUGGAUUGAUACCUCAUAGUAUAAUGACUUGGCAUCAAGACAUUAUUAAAGUCACAACGGUAAAAGAUGAGCAUGCGUCCCAUUAGCUAGUUGGUAAGGUAACGGCUUACCAAGGCUACGAUGGGUAGGGGUCCUGAGAGGGAGAUCCCCCACACUGGUACUGAGACACGGACCAGACUCCUACGGGAGGCAGCAGUGAGGAAUAUUGGACAAUGGGCGCAAGCCUGAUCCAGCCAUGCCGCGUGCAGGAUGACGGUCCUAUGGAUUGUAAACUGCUUUUAUACGAGAAGAAACAC
rnacentral:rRNA from 1 species